CCAUGCCGUAAACGUUGGGCGCUAGGUGUGGGACUCAUUCCACGAGUUCCGUGCCGCAGCUAACGCAUUAAGCGCCCCGCCUGGGGAGUACGGCCGCAAGGCUAAAACUCAAAGGAAUUGACGGGGGCCCGCACAAGCGGCGGAGCAUGCGGAUUAAUUCGAUGCAACGCGAAGAACCUUACCUGGGUUUGAUAUCUACCGGAAACCCCUAGAGAUAGGGGCCCCCUUGUGGUCGGUAGACAGGUGGUGCAUGGCUGU
rnacentral:rRNA from 1 species